UGUUAAAAGCUUAUCCACUAUUAAUUUAUUUCUUAGGCUUCCAUCCAAGACAGAAGCAAUUGAUUCUUAAAGAAGGGCUAAUAUUCCCAGGAUUUUAAACAGCGGCAAAACUCAUUGGUGAAGGAUACAGCUCUGGGUUCUUUUCCAGUUGCGGUUUUGGUAUCAAAGCCCUGGAGUGUUCAGCCCUGCACGGGUCCCCCAGCCGUGACUGGUCAUGGAAGUCAGCAGGCCCAGGCUGCUGUGUGCGUGAAGGCAGUGCGCCUGUGGGAUGAUGUGAGCUACCCUGAGGUUCUCAAGGCCCAUGUUCGAGUGUGGCGGACAGCUGUGGAGGUCAGUGCCCACGUCAUUGCUUGGUGUGGAUUUAGGUACAUGCAUUUCUUUAUUGCCAGGGUCAAAGAUCAUGCUCUUUGCACAAAAGUACACAAAGAAACACAAGCACUUUCUUCUCCCUUGAGAAGGCAGGAUGCUGAUGGAGGGGACCCUUGGGAGGCCAGAACAGGUCUCUGCCAGCCGCCUCCACUCACACCAGCCUUGUAGGGGGAGAGGGACCCGAUGGUGGAUCUGGUCUCCUAUACUCACUGCAUCUCCCAUGCCUACACCAAGGACCAAACACCAUUUAUUGGUACUGAAUAAAUCUCCUUUCUGGGGGUCA
rnacentral:lncRNA from 1 species